CCUUUUUAGCUCACCUGGCCCGAAGGGCCAAGUGAGCUUUUCCCAUCACUUUGCGUCCGGCGUCCGUCGUCGUCUGUCGUCCGUCGUCGUCCGUCGUCGUCGUUAACUUUUACAAAAAUCUUCUCCUCUGAAACUACUGGGCCAAAUUAAACCAAACUUGGCCACUAUCCUCAUUGGGGUAUCUAGUUUAAAAAAUGUGUCUGGUGACCCGG
rnacentral:lncRNA from 1 species